rnacentral:tRNA from 1 species
UAAAAGAUAAGCUAAAUUAAGCUACUGGGUUCAUACCCCAUUUAUAAAGGUUUACCCCUUUUCUUUUAA